rnacentral:misc_RNA from 1 species
GGCGUGCUUUGCGGCGGCGGCGGCCCCCAUGCCUCUGGACCGCUGCGGCGAUGCUCUGCUGCGUGUCCGUGUGGCGGCUGCGCCUGCUUCGUCCUUCUCUUUUGUUGCUUGCGAGCUCUGCUGGUUCGUUGGGGAUGAUGCAGCGGGAGCCUGUAGUAGUACCAAAACUAGGAACCGGGGGGAAAGGGCUGACACUUUGCUCUUUUUUCAGGGCGAAAGAUUCUCCCCGUCUCCUGGCGCCCUGCCCUGUGCCCUGUCAAGUGUGGAGCCUGAACAACAUGUUGGGGGAGAUCGACGAUGUGGCCAGUACGGCGUUUUAUAUAGGAGUACUCUGC